GACAGAGGGUGCAAACGUUGCUCGGAAUCACUGGGCGUAAAGGGCGUGUAGGCGGGAAGGAAAGUCAGAUGUGAAAUCCCUGGGCUCAACCCAGGAACUGCAUUUGAAACUCCCUUUCUUGAGUACCGGAGAGGAAAGUGGAAUUCCUGGUGUAGAGGUGAAAUUCGUAGAUAUCAGGAGGAACACCGGUGGCGAAGGCGGCUUUCUGGACGGUAACUGACGCUGAGACGCGAAAGCGUGGGGAGCAAACAGG
rnacentral:ncRNA from 2 species